rfam:Populus trichocarpa isolate Nisqually-1 chromosome 10, whole genome shotgun sequence.
UCUAGAACUCGAGAUAUAGGCUAAACACUGAAUAAUGUCUGGGUUGCAGGACAGAUUCAGACUUCUCUGUUGUUACUAUAAUAUGGACUUGAAAACGGCCUUUUUAAAUCUUGGACUCCCAUGAAAGUUUUAGGCCUGUCUUAGCUUUCUAUC